rnacentral:rRNA from 1 species
GCUCAGGACGAACGCUGGCUGCGUGCUUAACACAUGCAAGUCGAACGCUGAAGCCGACAGCUUGCUGUUGGUGGAUGAGUGGCGAACGGGUGAGUAACACGUGAGUAACCUGCCCCUGAUUUCGGGAUAAGCCUGGGAAACUGGGUCUAAUACCGGAUAUGACCAAUCCUUGCAUGAGGGUUGGUGGAAAGUUUUUCGAUCGGGGAUGGGCUCGCGGCCUAUCAGCUUGUUGGUGGGGUAAUGGCCUACCAAGGCGACGACGGGUAGCCGGCCUGAGAGGGCGACCGGCCACACUGGGACUGAGACACGGCCCAGACUCCUACGGGAGGCAGCAGUGGGGAAUAUUGCACAAUGGGGGAAACCCUGAUGCAGCGACGCAGCGUGCGGGAUGACGGCCUUCGGGUUGUAAACCGCUUUCAGCAGGGAAGAAGCGAAAGUGACGGUACCUGCAGAAGAAGUACCGGCUAACUACGUGCCAGCAGCCGCGGUAAUACGUAGGGUACGAGCGUUGUCCGGAAUUAUUGGGCGUAAAGAGCUCGUAGGUGGUUGGUCACGUCUGCUGUGGAAACGCAACGCUUAACGUUGCGCGUGCAGUGGGUACGGGCUGACUAGAGUGCAGUAGGGGAGUCUGGAAUUCCUGGUGUAGCGGUGAAAUGCGCAGAUAUCAGGAGGAACACCGGUGGCGAAGGCGGGACUCUGGGCUGUAACUGACACUGAGGAGCGAAAGCAUGGGGAGCGAACAGGAUUAGAUACCCUGGUAGUCCAUGCCGUAAACGUUGGGCACUAGGUGUGGGGGACAUUCCACGUUCUCCGCGCCGUAGCUAACGCAUUAAG